UUUCUUAUCAUACUAUCAUGGGUAAAUGGGCCAGGAAACUCAUCAUGAGAUAACAAGAAUGAAACAUAAGGGAAUACUCAACAUAUGACGACCCAACAUGAUAUGCAAACUUAUACAUGUGACAUACGGGACUAUAAGACCGACAUGACGAUUUGUAAACUCAAACAUAGGCCGAAAAGGCCAUAAAUAUAUCCAUACAUCUGACAUUUGUCACAAGCCUCUAAUAGUACCUAAUAUCAUAAAGGUCGGGACAGGGCCUUCCAUACCAAUCAAUAUAUAUAUCCAAAUGCAUACCGACCAAAUAGGCAACUAUGGAGCAAGUGAAGUUCACCAACACCUUCUGUUGAGCUUAUAGCCUACUUGGAGGACUGUCAACCUAUCAAUCGAGACCUGCGGGCAUGAAACGCAGCAUCCCCAGGCAAAAGGGACGUCGUAUUUAAUGCAGGAAAGCAUAAAUAAGAACAGUUAUGCAAAGUGAGAUGGAGGAGUUACAACCUGUAACAUCUGAGUGCCUCUGGGAGCUACUGAUAUGAAAUGCAUAACUCAUAUAUAUACAUAAACGUUUUUAAAGACAUUCGCCUCUGUGGGCAUCAUCAUCAUCAUAUUGUACCCUGCCUCAAAGAGGACUCGAUAAAAAUGUACCUGGCCAUCAUAACGCUCGGUCGAAUCGUACCCGUCCACGUGGAGCUCGGUAAACCGAACAGAGCAGUGGUUGCAUAAUAGGUGUUGUACCUGGCCGGCUA
rnacentral:lncRNA from 1 species